rnacentral:rRNA from 1 species
UGGGGAAUAUUGCACAAUGGGCGCAAGCCUGAUGCAGCCAUGCCGCGUGUAUGAAGAAGGCCUUCGGGUUGUAAAGUACUUUCAGUCGGGAGGAAGGUGUCAAGGUUAAUAACCUUGGCAAUUGACGUUACCGACAGAAGAAGCACCGGCUAACUCCGUGCCAGCAGCCGCGGUAAUACGGAGGGUGCAAGCGUUAAUCGGAAUUACUGGGCGUAAAGCGCACGCAGGCGGUUGAUUGAGUCAGAUGUGAAAUCCCCGGGCUUAACCCGGGAAUUGCAUCUGAUACUGGUCAGCUAGAGUCUUGUAGAGGGGGGUAGAAUUCCAUGUGUAGCGGUGAAAUGCGUAGAGAUGUGGAGGAAUACCGGUGGCGAAGGCGGCCCCCUGGACAAAGACUGACGCUCAGGUGCGAAAGCGGGGGGAGCAAACAGG